CGGAGAGUAGCUCAGCCUGGUAGAGCACUGCUUUCGGGAGGCAGGGGCCGGAGGUUCGAAUCCUCUCUCUCCG
rnacentral:tRNA from 1 species